ACUCCUACGGGAGGCAGCAGUGGGGAAUAUUGCACAAUGGGCGCAAGCCUGAUGCAGCCAUGCCGCGUGUAUGAAGAAGGCCUUCGGGUUGUAAAGUACUUUCAGCAGUGAGGAAGGUGGAUAUGUUAAUAGCAUAUUCAUUUGACGUUAGCUGCAGAAGAAGCACCGGCUAACUCCGUGCCAGCAGCCGCGGUAAUACGGAGGGUGCGAGCGUUAAUCGGAAUUACUGGGCGUAAAGCGCAUGCAGGUGGUUUGUUAAGUCAGAUGUGAAAGCCCGGGGCUCAACCUCGGAAUUGCAUUUGAAACUGGCAAACUAGAGUACUGUAGAGGGGGGUAGAAUUUCAGGUGUAGCGGUGAAAUGCGUAGAGAUCUGAAGGAAUACCGGUGGCGAAGGCGGCCCCCUGGACAGAUACUGACACUCAGAUAGCGAAAGCGUGGGGAGCAAACAGGAUUAGAUACCCUGGUAGGCU
rnacentral:rRNA from 1 species